rnacentral:tRNA from 1 species
AUUAGCAAAGUUUUAAUAAAGAUGUAGGGUUUAAAGCUCUAUGGUGGUAUACUGCCUGCUGAUUC